rnacentral:rRNA from 1 species
AUUGAACGCUGGCGGCAGGCCUAACACAUGCAAGUCGAGCGGAUGAAGGGAGCUUGCUCCUGGAUUCAGCGGCGGACGGGUGAGUAAUGCCUAGGAAUCUGCCUGGUAGUGGGGGAUAACGUCCGGAAACGGGCGCUAAUACCGCAUACGUCCUGAGGGAGAAAGUGGGGGAUCUUCGGACCUCACGCUAUCAGAUGAGCCUAGGGGAUUAGCUAGUUGGUGGGGUAAAGGCCUACCAAGGCGACGAUCCGUAACUGGUCUGAGAGGAUGAUCAGUCACACUGGAACUGAGACACGGUCCAGACUCCUACGGGAGGCAGCAGUGGGGAAUAUUGGACAAUGGGCGAAAGCCUGAUCCAGCCAUGCCGCGUGUGUGAAGAAGGUCUUCGGAUUGUAAAGCACUUUAAGUUGGGAGGAAGGGCAGUAAGUUAAUACCUUGCUGUUUUGACGUUACCAACAGAAUAAGCACCGGCUAACUUCGUG